ACCAGGCAGGGUGGCACAUGCCUGUAGUCCCAGCUACUCGGGAGGCUGAGGUGGGAGGAUCACUUGAGCCCAGGAGUUCUGGGCUGUAGUGUGCUAUGCCAAUCGGGUGUCCACACUAAGUUCGGCAUCAAUAUGGUGACCUCCCGGGAGUGGGGGACCACCAAGUUGCCUAAGGAGGGGUGAACUGGCCCAGGGUGGAAACGGAGCAGGUCAAAACUCUAGUGUUGAUCAGUAGUGGGAUUGUGCCCAUGAAUAGCCACUGCACUCCAGCCUGGGCAACAGCGAGACUCCGUCUCU
rnacentral:SRP_RNA from 1 species